CUCUUUGCUACCACAAUGAGCAACUUUAUCUAGUUUUCUUUCAGGGGAAAAUGCAGUUGAUAUACCAUUGACCACAGAGUGUUCAUAUGUUCCCUGGCAUUCCGAACCAUCGAUAUAGCAAUGAUGGUGGAAACCAUACCAACAGUGACCCCGAGGAAGAAAAGAACCAUUCCCUUGGAAGAGCCUGGCAAAAAUACAAAAUUUUCAGCACUAACUUCUCUAUAUUUAAGCCAAAAAAAAAAAAAAAUUGUUUCUCUGUCUGUGUGUUGAAAAGAAAGAGAUAAUAAACUUGGCUAUGAAUUUUGGUAUAUUUCAGAUAACUGUAAAGCUCACAUCAAAUUGUUAUAGAAUAGAAGAUAUUCCAUAGAAUCAUAAUGUUAUACUUUCUU